rnacentral:rRNA from 1 species
CCUACGGGAGGCUGCAGUGGGGAAUAUUGGACAAUGGGCGAAAGCCUGAUCCAGCCAUGCCGCGUGUGUGAAGAAGGCCUUCGGGUUGUAAAGCACUUUCAGUGGGGAAGAAAGCCUUGGGGCUAAUACCCUCGAGGAAGGACAUCACCCACAGAAGAAGCACCGGCUAACUCCGUGCCAGCAGCCGCGGUAAUACGGAGGGUGCGAGCGUUAAUCGGAAUUACUGGGCGUAAAGCGCGCGUAGGCGGUCUGAUAAGCCGGUUGUGAAAGCCCCGGGCUCAACCUGGGAACGGCAUCCGGAACUGUCAGGCUAGAGUGCAGCAGAGGAAGGUAGAAUUCCCGGUGUAGCGGUGAACUGCGUAGAGAUCGGGAGGAAUACCAGUGGCGAAGGCGGCCUUCUGGGCUGACACUGACGCUGAGGUGCGAAAGCGUGGGUAGCAAACAGGAUUAGAUACCCCAGUAGUC